CCUACGGGUGGCAGCAGUGGGGAAUAUUGGACAAUGGGCGAAAGCCUGAUCCAGCCAUGCCGCGUGUGUGAAGAAGGCCUUCGGGUUGUAAAGCACUUUCAGUGGGGAAGAAAGCCUUGGGGCUAAUACCCUCGAGGAAGGACAUCACCCACAGAAGAAGCACCGGCUAACUCCGUGCCAGCAGCCGCGGUAAUACGGAGGGUGCGAGCGUUAAUCGGAAUUACUGGGCGUAAAGCGCGCGUAGGCGGUCUGAUAAGCCGGUUGUGAAAGCCCCGGGCUCAACCUGGGAACGGCAUCCGGAACUGUCAGGCUAGAGUGCAGCAGAGGAAGGUAGAAUUCCCGGUGUAGCGGUGAAAUGCGUAGAGAUCGGGAGGAAUACCAGUGGCGAAGGCGGCCUUCUGGACUGACACUGACGCUGAGGUGCGAAAGCGUGGGUAGCAAACAGGAUUAGAUACCCCGGUAGUC
rnacentral:rRNA from 1 species